rnacentral:rRNA from 1 species
GAUGAACGCUAGCGAUAGGCUUAACACAUGCAAGUCGAGGGGUAACGUGUUGGAAGCUUGCUUCCGAUGACGACGACCGGCGGAUGGGUGCGUAACGCGUAUGCAACUUGCCUCACAGAGGAGAAUAACCCGGAGAAAUCCGGACUAAUGCUCCAUACACUCUUUAGCACGCCUGUGCGUAAGAGGAAAGAUUUAUCGCUGUGAGAUAGGCAUGCGUCCUAUUAGGUAGUUGGUGAGGUAACGGCUCACCAAGCCGACGAUAGGUAGGGGUGCUGAGAGGCAGAUCCCCCACAUUGGGACUGAGACACGGCCCAAACUCCUACGGGAGGCAGCAGUGAGGAAUAUUGGUCAAUGGAGGAAACUCUGAACCAGCCAAGUCGCGUGAAGGAAGAAUGUCCUAAGGAUUGUAAACUUCUUUAGCGAGUGAGUAAGGACCUCCACGCGUUGGGAGUUUGAAAGUAGCUCGAGAAUAAGUAUCGGCUAACUCCGUGCCAGCAGCCGCGGUAAUACGGAGGAUACGAGCGUUAUCCGGAUUUAUUGGGUUUAAGGGUGCGCAGGUGGUCCUGCAAGUCAGUGGUGAAAAGCUGAGGCUCACCUCAGCCUUGCCGUUGAAACUGCAAGACUUGAGAGUACAUGAUGUGGGCGGAAUGCGUAGUGUAGCGGUGAAAUGCAUAGAUAUUACGCAGAACUCCGAUUGCGAAGGCAGCUCACAAAGGUAUGUCUGACACUGAGGCACGAAAGCGUGGGGAGCAAACAGGAUUAGAUACCCUGGUAGUCCACGCCGUAAACGAUGAUUACUCGAAGUAUGCGAUAUGACAGUAUGCUUCCAAGCGAAAGUGAUAAGUAAUCCACCUGGGGAGUACGCCGGCAACGGUGAAACUCAAAGGAAUUGACGGGGGCCCGCACAAGCGGAGGAACAUGUGGUUUAAUUCGAUGAUACGCGAGGAACCUUACCCGGGAUUGAAAUGUAUGUGCGCCUCUUGGGAAACCGAGAGGGUUCUCUUCGGAGACACAUAUGUAGGUGCUGCAUGGUUGCCGUCAGCUCGUGCCGUGAGGUGUCGGCUUAAGUGCCAUAACGAGCGCAACCCUUAUCGUCAGUUACUAACAGGUUAAGCUGAGGACUCUGGCGAGACUGCCGUCGUAAGGCGAGAGGAAGGUGGGGAUGACGUCAAAUCAGCACGGCCCUUACAUCCGGGGCGACACACGUGUUACAAUGGUAGGGACAGAGAGUAGCCACUCGGCGACGAGGAGCGGAUCUUGAAACCCUAUCUCAGUUCGGAUCGGAGUCUGCAACUCGACUCCGCGAAGCCGGAUUCGCUAGUAAUCGCGCAUCAGCCAUGGCGCGGUGAAUACGUUCCCGGGCCU